AUGGGGGACAACAUUCGGAAACGGAUGCUAAUACCGCAUACGCCCUACGGGGGAAAGCGGGGGAUCUUCGGACCUCGCGCUAAUGGAUGAGCCUAAGUCGGAUUAGCUUGUUGGCGAGGUAAUGGCUCACCAAGGCGACGAUCCGUAGCUGGUCUGAGAGGACGAUCAGCCACACUGGGACUGAGACACGGCCCAG
rnacentral:rRNA from 1 species